rnacentral:rRNA from 1 species
GCAGUCGUACGAGAGUUUUUACUCUAGUGGCGGACGGGUGAGUAACACGUGAGAAUUUACCUUUAGGAGGGGGAUAACAAUUGGAAACGACUGCUAAUACCCCAUAUGCUUUUGAGUGAAAUGGAUUUAUAUUUAUCCGCCUAGAGAGAAGCUCGCGGCUGAUUAGCUUGUUGGUAAGGUAAGAGCUUACCAAGGCGACGAUCAGUAUCUGGUUUGAGAGGACGAUCAGACACACUGGAACUGAGACACGGUCCAGACUCCUACGGGAGGCAGCAGUGGGGAAUUUUCCGCAAUGGGCGAAAGCCUGACGGAGCAAUACCGCGUGAGGGAAGACUGCCUAUGGGUUGUAAACCUCUUUUUUCAGGGAGGAAUAAAAUGACGUGUACCUGAAGAAUAAGCAUCGGCUAACUCCGUGCCAGCAGCCGCGGUAAGACGGAG